rnacentral:rRNA from 1 species
CUCGUAGGCGGUUCAGUAAGUCGGGUGUGAAAACUCUGGGCUUAACCCAGAGCCGCCACUCGAUACUGCUGUGACUUGAGUUCGGUAGGGGAGCAGGGAAUUCCUAGUGUAGCGGUGAAAUGCGCAGAUAUUAGGAGGAACACCGGUGGCGAAGGCGCUGCUCUGGGCCGAUACUGACGCUGAGGAGCGAAAGCGUGGGUAGCAAACA